UACGGAGGAUGCAAGCGUUAUCCGGAAUGAUUGGGCAUAAAGCGUCCGCAGGUGGCAAUGUAAGUCUGCUGUCAAAGCGUCUGGCUCAACCAGAUAAAGGCAGUGGAAACUACAUAGCUAGAGUAAGGUAGGGGUAGAGGGAAUUCCUGGUGUAGCGGUGAAAUGCGUAGAGAUCAGGAAGAACACCGGUGGCGAAAGCGCUCUGCUGGACCUUAACUGACACUGAGGGACGAAAGCUAGGGGAGCGAAUGGG
rnacentral:rRNA from 1 species